rnacentral:rRNA from 1 species
AAUGUGAAUUGCAGAAUUCAGUGAAUCAUCGAAUCUUUGAACGCACAUUGCGCCCUUUGGUAUUCCGAAGGGCAUGCCUGUUCGAGCGUCAUUUCACCACUCAAGCCUGGCUUGGUAUUGGGCGUCGCGGCUCCGCGCGCCUCAAAGUCUCCGGCUGAG